rnacentral:rRNA from 1 species
ACAACGCUGGCGGCAGGCCUAACACAUGCAAGUCGAGCGAAGCCUUCGGGCUUAGCGGCGGACGGGUGAGUAACGCGUGGGAACGUGCCCUUUGCUACGGAAUAGCCCCGGGAAACUGGGAGUAAUACCGUAUAAGCUCUACGGAGGAAAGAUUUAUCGGCAAAGGAUCGGCCCGCGUUGGAUUAGGUAGUUGGUGGGGUAAUGGCCUACCAAGCCGACGAUCCAUAGCUGGUUUGAGAGGAUGAUCAGCCACACUGGGACUGAGAUACGGGCCAGACUCCUACGGGAGGCAGCAGUAGGGAAUAUUGGGCAAUGGAUGCAAGUCUGACCCAGCCAUGCCGCGUGCAGGAUGAAGGCCCUCUGGGUUGUAAACUGCUUUUAUCUGGGAAGAAAAAGUCCAUGCGUGGAAAAUUGCCGGUACCAGAUGAAUAAGCACCGGCUAACUCCGUG